rnacentral:rRNA from 1 species
AGUGAACGCUGGCGGUAGGCCUAACACAUGCAAGUCGAACGGCAGCACAGGAGAGCUUGCUCUCUGGGUGGCGAGUGGCGGGCGGGUGAGGAAUACAUCGGAAUCUACUCUGUCGUGGGGGAUAACGUAGGGAAACUUACGCUAAUACCGCAUACGUCCUACGGGUGAAAGCAGGGGACCUUCGGGCCUUGCGCGAUUGAAUGAGCCGAUGUCGGAUUAGCUAGUACAGUGGCGGGGUAAAGGCCCACCAAGGCGACGAUCCGUAGCUGGUCUGAGAGAAUGCGCAGCCACACUGGGACUCAGACACGGGCCAGACUCCUACGGGAGGCAGCAGUGGGGAAUAUUGGACAAUGGGCGCAAGCCUGAUCCAGCCAUACCGCGUGGGUGAAGAAGGCCUUCGGGUUGUAAAGCCCUUUUGUUGGGAAAGAAAUCCAGCUGGCUAAUACCCGGUUGGGAUGACGGUACCCAAAGAAUAAGCACCGGCUAACUUCGUGCCAGCCGCCGCCGUAA